AUCAAGACUGUCAGAGGGGGAUGACUGAAGACAUCCUAACGUCAUCCUUGUGUUGAUAGAGAGGCUCGUGCUCCGCCAACAUGUCCUGAUCAACAAGGACCCUGAUUAACAGCAGGACAUUGACUGACGCCAGUAGACUGUUCUCUAGAUUUGUUAAUGAGAAUAAUUGGCGUCACGAACAGGAUUGGAUAAAGCAAGCUGCCUCGACGCAGGGUGGGCCCCGGCUCUGGACUCCUCACAGAAAAGUGGCCACUAAAAGCGAGCUGUCUGUACAGAAGAGGAAAAAGGCGGGCUUACACAGCUGCCAUUCAAC